UACGUAGGGGGCAAGCAUUAUCCGGAUUUACUGGGUGUAAAGGGAGCGUAGACGGAAUUGCAAGUCUGAUGUGAAAAUCCGGGGCCCAACCCCGGAACUGCAUUGGAAACUGUAUUUCUAGAGUGUCGGAGAGGCAAGUGGAAUUCCUGGUGUAGCGGUGAAAUGCGUAGAUAUCAGGAGGAACACCAGUGGCGAAGGCGGCUUGCUGGACGAUGACUGACGUUGAGGCUCGAAAGCGUGGGGAGCAAACAGG
rnacentral:rRNA from 1 species